GCCGGAGUGGCGGAAUGGCAGACGCAGGGGACUUAAAAUCCCCUGGCCUCAACGGCCGUGCUGGUUCGAGUCCAGUUUCCGGCACCA
rnacentral:tRNA from 1 species